UGUGCAAAUGUUUGUAAAUUCCGCUAUUCUUAUCAGCGGGAAAAAUUGAUGAAAAAUUAAAUUUUCUUUCCUAUAAAAUUGUUUAAUUAAAGAUACAACAAUGUAUAAAAGCUCAUGCAAAAUUUACCUAAAAAACAUUAUUCUUAAAGUACACCGAAAAUGAAUAAAAUGAAUUGUCAAAUAUUUACAAUCUUGUUGGGAUUUUUCAUUAUUUUCUUUCUAACUUCAGUACAAGGAUGUUCAUUGCCUGGCGGACCUUGUGAUCGAAAUCGUGAUUGUUGCCUUCAAAAAAUAUGUUUUCUUCGUCCUGGGCGACGAGGAUAUUGUGGCACCUCUGCUUAAUGAAUAAAGAAACCAAAGGUUAUGAAAUAUAUGAAACAUUCUUUGUAAGAGUUUAAAGAAAUAAAUAUUAAUUAUUAUUAUCUAA